GGUAAGAUGGCCGAGAGUAGGUGGUAGGUUGUAGCCCUAAUAACAGAGGUUCAAAUCCUCUUCUUACCA
rnacentral:tRNA from 1 species